UAAAUAUAAGAAAAGUUCAAUUUAUUGAAUGAUUCUGUGGAUUGCUUUGUAAAAAUAUGAGAAUAAAUUGAAAGGAAAAAAGGUUUUUUUGGAUAACAAUGUUAAAUAUAUUGAUAAAACAAAAAAAAAGUGUUAUUGUUAAAGAAAUGAGAUAAAUUUAAUAAUAUAAAAAGCUUCGGCUUUUGAGUUUCAAUUAGACGUAUAUAUAUUAAUUAAGAUUUUAGUAUAAAGGACAAAAAUGAUUGUGAUGUAUACGGAGAAUAAGGGUUUGAUUCCGGAGAGGGAGCAUGAGAAAUGGCUACCACAUCUAAGGAUGGCAGCAGGCGCGAAAAUUGCCCAAUAUAGACAUUAUGAGGCAGUAACAAAAAAUAACAAUUAAAUGGCAAAUUGCUAUUUAAAUUGGAAUGAGAAAGACGGAAGAAAAAAAAACGAGAAACAAGAAGAGGGAAAGUCUGGUGCCAGCAGCCGCGGUAAUACCAGCUCUUCUAGCAUAUAUUAAAAUUGCUGCAGUUAAAACGCUCGUAGUUUUAUUUAUUAGAGUGGAAGUCUUGGGUUUAUGAUUUAGUUUAUUCACUCAGGAUUUGCGCUCUAUUAAGAUUAUAAGGGUAGUUUUUAAUUAGACUAUCUUUUAGUUAACCUUGAACAAAAAUUAUCGCUCAAAGAAAGACUUCGGUUUGGUGAGAUUUUAGCAUGGGAUUAUAGAAGAAGGGAAGCCGGGCUUUGGGAGAAGGAGACUUUUCUUAGAGUACGGUUUUCAAUGGUUAAUGAGGAAGAUGCGUGGAAGUUUAUAUUUAAAAGCUAGAGGUGAAAUUCUUGGAUUUUUUAACGAUAAACAUCAGCGAAGGCAUUCUUCAAGUGCUUACCUAUCGACAAAGAACGAAAGUUGGGGGAUCGAAGACGAUCAGAUACCGUCGUAGUCUCAACAGUAAACUAUGCCGACUAUGAAUUGAAUAUCGUUUUAAGAAAAUUUGGGAUUUAUUCCAUUUUUCUGAUGACUUCUUCAGAGCAUUACAAGAAAUUAAGAGUUUUUGGGUUCCGGGGGGAGUAUUGUCGCAAGGCCGAAACUUAAAGGGAUUGACGGAAGGGCACCACCAGGUGUGGAGCCUGCGGCUUAAUUUGACCCAACACGGGAAAUCUUACCAGGUCCAGACAUAGGUAGGAUUGACAGAUUGAUAGCUCUUUCUUGAUUCUAUGGGUGGUGGUGCAUGGCCGUGGCCGUUCUUAGUUGGUGGAGUGAUUUGUCUGGUUAAUUCCGAAUUUAAUAUAAAUACAAACGAACGAGACCUCAGCCUGCUAAAUAGUUGUCUGUCUUUCUACGUGCUUGCACAAACCGAGACUUACCGACUUCUUAGAGGGACUUUGUGUGUCAAGCACAAGGAAGUUUGAGGCAAUAACAGGUCUGUGAUGCCCUUAGAUGUCCUGGGCCGCACGCGUGCUACACUGAUACGUACAACAAGGUAUACAUCUACUUGCUGCUCCGAAAUAGAUAAUCAACUUGGCUAAAUCUCCAAUACGUAUCGUGCUGCGGAUAGAUCGUUGAUAAAUAAUUAUGAAUCUUGACAGAGGAAUGCCUAGUAAGCGCAGGUCAUCAGCCUGCGUUGAUUACGUCCCUGCCCUUUGUACACACCGCCCGUCGCUCCUACCAAUUUCGAGCGGCUCGGUGAACCUUUCUUCUCUCAACUGUAUGGCAACAUACGAUGUACGAAGAAUUGUAAACCUGGUCGCUUAGAGGAAGGAGAA
rnacentral:rRNA from 1 species